GGCGCGGUAGCCAAGUGGUAAGGCGGAGGUCUGCAAAACCUCUAUUCAUCGGUUCGAUUCCGAUCCGCGCCUCCA
rnacentral:tRNA from 1 species